rnacentral:lncRNA from 1 species
CUUUACAAACACUACAGUGCAUUUUCUAGAAAAUUUUUUCUAGGCCGGGCGCGGUGGCUCACGCCUGUAAUCCCAGCACUUUGGGAGGCAGAGGUGGGUGGAUCACGAGGUCAGGAGAUCAAGACCAUCCUGGCUAACACGGUGAAACCCCGUCUCUACUAAAAAUACAAAAAAAAUUAGCCGGGCGUAGUGGCGGGAGCCUGUAGUCCCAGCUACUCAGGAUGCUGAAGCAGAAGAAUGGCCUGAACCCGGCAGGCAGAGCUUGCAGUGAGCCGAGAUUGUGCCACUGCACUCCAGCCUGGGCGACAGAGCCAGACUCCGACUCAAAAAAAAAAAAAAAAGAAAAAGAAAAAUUUUUCUAAAUCUCCAUUGUUAAGAGAUCACUGUGAGGUAGGGUAGGGAGUGUGGGGAAAGAUUGGGGCCCCCAGGUUUGAAGAUCAGCUUGGUCUUGCCUGUGUGCAUGUAUCUGAUAAAAUGCAGGAAAAGUUUGUCUCUUCCCCACCCUCACUUCCACCCACUGUGAGGCUUGCUCAUGUCCAGAUUGGGCUCAGGAUGGCAGUUGUGGAUGCUCAGAGCACAAAAGGCUUCUUGUUUGCCCAAGGGCCUAUCAGUGUUUAAAUAGAACUGGCGGAAGCACAAGCACACCGUAUCAGCAGCUUAUCAGGGACCAUGGUUUUCCACGUACAUUUGCUAGGCACUUCAGUUUACCCAACUCCAUCAGCACUGAGUUAAAUUGCAAGGUUGGGCUGUACUACGCUGAGCCAGGGCAGGGAGAACAAGCCAGUUACUGGGGAUGAGGGUGUCGGGGGGGCCCUCAAGACCUUAUUUGCAUUCUGCCCACAUAGAGAAUAAAGCUGUGAUAGCCUGUGUACUAAGAGGCACCCAAAGAGAACCAGUCAGUCUUAGGAAUGCACCCGGAAGGUGGGAUGAGUCCAGGCCUCCCUAUGGUGGAAGUAGUUGGAGAUACCUCUUGUUACCCUGGUUUUCCAUCUUAGUUUACCAGGUGUAUAGUCAGUGCGGGUUAUGGUUAAAGGAGGUGUCAAUUGGGGGCCUGUUAAUGUCUUAAAAUUGUAUGCAAUUUUGGGGUUUGCAAAUGCGUCUGCGUGCAUAUUUCUCUGGCAGCUGACCUAUGAAUCAAAGGACUAAAUGUUCUUGUACUAUUCGGGCUGCAUCUUCUUUGAGGGUAAUCUUCAGGGCAGAUACAUGGGUAGCCUACUUUAGAAAUGAGGCCUUUGCAAUUAUAAUCACUCCUACUUUCUAAGCACUUGCUAUAUGCCAGGUGCUGUGCUAAAUGCUUUAUAAAUGUUAUCACAUUUAAUUCUCAGAAAAUCUUAUGAGAUAGGAAUUUUUAUUUCUAAAAGAGUUAUAAUUUGCCCAUGAUCACAGAGCUAAGUAAAUGAUAGAGCUAUGAUCGGAACUUCAACUUUCUGAUUCCAUGUCUGUUAGCACUGUGGAAGGCUGUCUUUGGCAUUUUAAUAUACUUAUCAAGUGUUUCAUAUACAUUGGUUAAUUUGUCCAACUGCCACAGAGUGGGAUGGGUGGCUCUUUUUCCUAAACUGUAGCCAUCUUUUCCCCAAAGUGUAGCCUUCAUGAAUUUUGCCCUAUUUAUAUAUCACCUAUGCUAUUAAGUUACCUACCAUUUAAAAUUUUUAAUUAAAUGUGUUAUUUCUUACCCUCAUUCCUAAAUAAUAGCCAUGGAAAAACCAUUGAUGUGCUAAUUUUUUUCUUGAAUCCACACUAAAAUAACUACAUAACCAUUAAAAUGAAAAAUGCAUUAGCCAGGUGUGGUGGUGCGUGCCUGUAGCCUCAGCUACUCGGGUGGCAGAGGAGAAGAAUCGCUUGAACCUGGAAGGCGGAGGUUGCAGUGAGCCGAGAUUUGCACCGCUGUACUCCAGCCUGGGCAACAGAGGGAGACUUCAUCUCAAAAAAAAAAAAAAAAAAAGCUAUGUUUUAAUACUACUUAAUAUCAUGUAGAGUGCCAUCAGUGUAUUGGUGCCAUGCUUUAAAAAACCCUAAUAUGUGAUUUAAAGACUACAUGUCUAUAUUGCAGCAGAAUUGUGGGUAAACUAAAAUACCCCCUCAUGCCACCCACCCCAGACAGCCCUUCUGGCACAGGGACAGGCUAGGGUCAUGGAGAGUGGUGCUAAGAGCAUCAGAGAGGAGGCUGGGUUUGACUCCAGGGAAGGCACUCUUAUGGUGGAGGCCAUGCCCUGUAUCUUUCAGGACCUGUUUUAGUUGCUCUAAUGAGGCAAUGAUGCCAAGAAAAAGAAUGUUGCUUAGCCCUCCUUGAGGGGGUUGAAGGAUUCCAGCGACUGGGGCAAGAAUCUGUGUUCUGUGUGCUCUUGCUGAAAGGAUAUUGCUGGGAUAUUGAGGGUUGUGGAUGAAGUAACCUUCCAGGGGCAGAAUUGUGCAGUAAGGUCCCUCAGCCUAGGAUGAAAAAGGCCUCUAACGAAAAGCCCACUUGUUCAUGUUUCCGUUUUAACUAAAUGUUCCUCUCUAAAUUCCAUACCCUCUGGGGCAUAAGCUGAAGGAAAAUUUGGAAUCUUAUUAUCUGAAAUUGUACGUGCAUUUGACCUAUAUUGCUAUGUCUUUAAUAAAAGCAUCUGAGGAAUAGUUCCUAA